rnacentral:rRNA from 1 species
UGGUGACCAGCGGAGGGAUCAUUACUGAGUUACAAACUCCAAACCUUUGUGAACAUACCACAGUUGCUUCGGCGGCCUCGCCCCGGGCGCGGCGGGACCCUCUCGGGGGGAACGCGGCGACCCGGACCCAGGCGACCGCCGGGGGACCCAAACUCUUGUCUUUUAGUGUAUUAUCUGAGUGGCAUAAGCAAAAUAAAUUAAAACUUUCAGCAACGGAUCUCUUGGUUCUGGCAUCGAUGAAGAACGCAGCGAAAUGCGAUAAGUAAUGUGAAUUGCAGAAUUCAGUGAAUCAUCGAAUCUUUGAACGCACAUUGCGCCCGCCAGUACUCUGGCGGGCAUGCCUGUCCGAGCGUCAUUUCAACCCUCAGCACCCCCGUUCGCGGCGGGAGCUGGCGUUGGGGAUCGGCCGUCCUCUGCGGCGGCCGGCCCCGAAACGAAGUGGCGGUCACGUCGCGACCUCCUCUGCGUAGUAGCAAUAUCUCGCAGCCUGGAUAGCGGCGCGGCCAUGCCGUAAAACCCCAACUUUUUCAAGGUUGACCUCGGAUCAGGUAGGAAUACCCGCUGAACUUAAGCAUAUCAAUAGGCGGAGGA